AAUCCGCCAUUUUAGUGGUUUGCAUUUACAAUAAGUGGGGCUUAGCCUAAAUGGAAGUCUGAAAGAAGCCUAUUUAACCCCUCUAUGAUGCAAGCCCCAAACAAAUACAAAAAGCUUUUGGCAAUCCAUGUUGUUGAAACUAAUAAAAUAUAAGAGCGUGAAAACAUUGCUAUGCCUGAAUGAUUUCUAACUAGAACACGAAAGAAUUGGGAUCUAUUUCUGCUUUCUUCUUGGGUUUAAACAACUGUUGAUUGACAGGUCGCCAUGUUUUGCAUGUACAAUGUGCAAUGGCAAUAUGAUUUUGUGUUGUGGGUGCUGGUUUUCUCAUAUACUUUGUGCGCUCAGCUGUAUUUCUCAUACAACCCGUCAUCGCAGCGUUUCUCAAAUCUCGUCUGCUACAGAAAGCGACGAAAGCGUCCAACAAGUCAGACAGUGAAGAAAGGUUUGAGAACAUUGGAGAACAGCAGCACAAGGACUCCAUCGGUGGAUGUAAGCAGGGCGGCAGGAUGAUGCAGUUUAAAGGAAUAUUCAGCCUGCGAAUCACUGGUCCAUCAGCACUCCUUCAUUAGUCAUGAAUUGUCUGAAUUAAUGCAUGAACUAUGCUUUCUACUGCGGGCCAACUGAAGACCUUCAAUUUUCAGAGACUGUGCACUGCUGUUGUGGAACAAGAUUGGUGAUAGCAUAUCCAGUUGAGCAUUUCUUUUGGAAUCAAUUUGUUUUAGUUAUAAAUGGUUGUACUACAGGGGUUAAGAGAGAG